GGCGGGUUGGGCCCGCUGAGGGAGCCGGAGCCGCCCGGGGAGGGGGAGGGGCGGGCGGCGAGUAGGGAUUCUCCCUCUCCCUCUCCGCUGUCCUUAAAGGGGCCGCGCGGGACGCCGCGGUGGGCGCGUGGCCGGGGCUGCAGGAGACCCUGAGGCGGACGGCGACCGGAAGCUGGGGGGUAAGGCACGGCGGAGGGAGCCGGUUUGUUUUUAAACUCUGCCUCCGCUCGUCGUCUCGCGCUCCGGUUCCUCCGAGUUGUUUAUUCCAUUUUCCUCUUCCUGAGACGGUCGCCGCCUCUGCGCGUGCGCGCGCGGCGCGGGGGCUUAUGGGUAAAGGCCUGGCCGGGGCGGCAGGCGUGGCCCCCCGGGGGCGUCCUCGAGCUGACCAGAGGCAGUUGGUCCUGCCUGGGCCCUCCGUGGCCUUCCCAGGUUGUCACGGGUCCGAUGCUGAAGCUCUCACGAGACAGGAUACCCCUCUUCGAGUCUCCUCCUUGAACCAGGGGGAGCGGCAUUAAGACAAUUGAAGAACCGAAGUGAAGCAAAAGAUUGGUUUUAAGGUUUUAGAAAUCUUCUCUGCGAGAUUUCUCUUAAAAGACAAAUCCCUGUUAUGAAAAGGACGGUGUGGGCAGUAUUUAAGGAAUUGUGGCGACCUGACGAAGUCACGGAAGAAUAUAAAAAGUACCACACUGCAGAAGGGGUGAGAUGCACGUUGUAGAUCCUAGUCUGGUAAGCCUAGUGAUGUUGCCUAGGUAAAUUCUAAGCCGGUAUCUUUGUGUGAACGCAGUUUUCAGUCACUUAAAUAUCCAACAAGUAUUUGUUAAUGUCCAUUACAUGUUCCAGGAACUGGAAAGGAGCUAGGGAUGCAAAAGUGAACAAGAUGCAGUUAUACCUGAGUUCAGAGGGCUUCUUUAUCCUCUGGACAGUGAGACAUAAGGUGGGAAUUAGUGUCUAAUGCUGGAUUUAAAGAUGUUGGGCUCCUAGGAAAAACUGAUAAGCCAGCUGGAGAUUUAGGCAUCCUUGAAUUCAGCCCUGCCUUUGAAACCUGGUUGCUUCUCUAUUCCUCCUUUGUACAUUUGAGAUAAAAGAGUGAGUGAACUGAUCAUAUAAAUGUCCUGUGUUUGGGAAGAAUCAGUAGGGUUUAGCAAUUGCUUUCUAUUGCUACUAGGUGUGUAGAGAAAGAAAGAGCAUUGUAGACAAAGCAGACAGCUUGUGAAAGAGGCCUCAAGGUGAAUCGGGUUAGAGUGUUAGGAGUAUGGUGAUAGCACACAGAUGAGUAGAGUUCUCAGAAGUGCUUUUCAGUCAGUAUUAAGAGAUUGGACUCUCCUGAAGGGCAAUUAGAAAAUAGCACAAGUUUUCAAAGUGCUAGGUGGCACGUUCCCAAUCCUUUAAGAAGAGAAAAGAUCCCCAUAGGAACCCUGAAAAGCAAGGCAAAUUGUCCCUGAGCAGGGGAAGGCCUGAAAUUGCCCAAAGUUUAUUCAUUCCAAUCCAGGGUGUACCUAGUGACAACGUGUGUGCUCUCUGUAUUGCGUGCUUCAUUGUUGUUAAAUAAUCGUGCUUAUCUUAAAGACCUGAGCUGGGAGGAGGUGUUUGCAGUGACACAAUCAGGGCUUGAUAAACUGCUACAUUCAGCAUAUUGUUCAGACUGAUCUUAAAUAAGAAUCAACAGUGCAUUACAUACCAAGCAAAAUCUGUGCUAGGCGCUGACGUAUGAGACCUGGCCUGAGGAUGGUUCAGGAAAAAUACUGGCCUUGCAAUUUGAAGAACUGAGUUCCAUUCCGAGAACCCAAGUAAAAAAGGCUAGGUAUGGUGGGUGUGCUCCUAACACUAAUCCUGGGAAGGCAGAGACAGAAGAGUCAGUUCCCUGUGCUACCUGGCCAGCCAGUCUAGCCUAAUUGGUAAUAGCCCCAGGCUAGUGAGAACCCUAUCUCAAAAAAGUUGGACAGCCUUUCCAAGGAUGACGCUUGAAUUUGUCCUCAGACUAUCAUGUGUACCCUGCACCCACAUGCACAUACACACACAUUAACAUGCACACACAUUCAUAAAAAAGUAUGUAGAUAGAAAAUUUAAGAUGUAUAAGAUUGAGCCUCGGAAGUUAGCAGGUUGUCAUUAGAAGUAGCAAUAUUAAAGUUUGUCAUCCCUCAGUACUAAUUUAAUAUAAUUAAACUUUUCUGAACAAAUUAGAGAAAAGUAGACUGAGAUACUCAGGCAGCUUCAAUAGUCUCAGAUUAGUCGUAAUCAAAUGUUGAUACAGUUAGCCCUGGAGGUCCUUGAAUAUGCAAAGGGUGUCAAGAAUGAUACAUUUCCAAAUACCCUCUCCUUCACUUAUGAAUCAGAAUUAAGUUGGAGGAAUGGGAGUACUUUAACAUACCACAGAUGGCAUACUCCCCCACAUCUUAAAAGAAAAUUAGCUAUAAUUUCCUUAUCUUAUAAAAUUAGCAGUUUAAAAUACUACUGUUCUUCUUAACAGAAAAACAUCAAGGUCGCUCUCCUAAGUUGUAUAUUCUACUGUGCUUAUUGCAGUACUCAGGACAGCCAACAAAGAAAGUUGCCAAUAACCUGAAAUGUAAACACAAUAAUGAAAUCAGUAGCGGAGUACACACUUGGAAUAUUACACAGUUAUAAAAAAUAGCCAUGGAAACUUGCAUUUAUGAUGCUCUGUGAAUAUUAAACAUGAUACAACAUUAUAUAUGUUUUAUAAAUGAUGUUUUUAAAAAAUAACAGAAUAAGGAUUAGAGUAAUUGCUUCCAAACAUUAGCCAUAAUUUUAGUAAGAUGAUAAAGUACAAUGGAUUUUUGCCUAUUUCUCUUGCUUUUCUUUGUGUGGUCAACAUGUAUUCUAUAAUAGGAAAAUAAGCAUUAAGAUUUAUUGUAAUUUUUUUUUAAUUUGAGAGAGACAGACAAACAGGGUCUGUCUGGCCUGGAACUCACUGUGUAAAACUUGAUUCUCAGAGGCCAGUCUGCUUCUGCCUUCAAGAUGCUAGGAUUAAAGAAAGGUAUACACCACACUCCCCACCAAGACUUGUACUUUAAUCUUUGAAUUCUGAGAAGUAGAUAUGUUGUAUUCAUUAAGUUAUUCUCUGUUCUAGGUUCCAAAUAAAUUAAUUAAAAACAGUUGAACACUUGUUGGCCAUUGCUUUCCACAUUUUCACUGUAUUUUGUCAAAGACUGGUUCAACAGAAUGUUAAUUUGUACAAACUUUUUUUUUUUUGCUAACAUUGGGAAGGCUUGAGAAAUAGUCUUUUUCAGAAUCUUGACUGUGUUGACAUUAACACUGAAGUAGGACAUACUACCACAUGUGCCAGGUUUCCAACUGACACUUCCUGCCAGCUUGUGUGAGGUUAGUGCUGCCAGACUGUGCUCCCAGUGUUAUGGAUUUUAAAAUGCAUUCACAAUCUGCUUUGCCUUCUACCAAAUGCUUUCACAGAACAAAAACUAAAGCUUCUCCCCUUAACAAUUCCUCAGGACCUGGUUACUCCCUCUAAAUGUCUUCUUUCUUCUUGUUUUUGUCUUAAGUAUAUAAGUCAUUUUUUUUUUUUAGAUUUAUUUUUUUUCUUUUUUUUUCGGAGCUGGGGACCGAACCCAGGUCCUUGCGCUUACUAGGCAAGCGCUCUACCACUGAGCUAAAUCCCCAACCCCCUAUUUAUUUUUUAUAUAUGUCACUGUCACUGUCUUCAGACACCCCAGAAGAGGGCAUCAGAUCCCAUUACAGAUGGUUGUGAGCCACCAUGUGGUUGCUGGGAAUUGAACUCAGGACCUUUGGAAGAGCAGUCAGUGCUCUUAACCGCUGAGCCAUCUCUCCAGCCCCAUAAAAGUCAUUUUUAAGAGAUCAGUCCCUUCCUAUGAACGUUUUGUAAUGGAGCAGUCAGAUUGGGUUGCUUUGGAAGAUAGCUUGAUAUCAUACGUAGUUGUGAUCUAUAGAAUACCUGUACCCUAUAUCAUUUGUGCUGUCUAUGCUACAAAACACUUUCUGGAAGAGGCAGCUGUCUGAACACUGAUUGGAUUCAAGGUCUUACCCAUACUAAGCCUGUUUCUCCUGAGCUAUCCUUUUGUGUUCUAGAAAAACACUUAUUCCCAAAGAUAGACAUAGUAACUUUUAAAUGAAGAAUUGUUUAUAAUGUCCCAGUUUGCUUUUUGGUCUUUUGGCUUUUUUGGUUGAUCGGUCGGUGGGUCGGUUGGUUGGUUGGUUGGUUAACACAGGGUUUCUCUACUCUAGUAAUGUGUUUCUAAUAAUGUAGCUCUAGUUGUUCUGGAACUCACUCUGAUCACUCCUGGCUGGCCUUGAACUUCUGGGAAAGGCCUGUGCCUCCCUGAUUGCUGGGAUUAGACUGCACUACCACCACCCGAUCCUAGGUUCUUUCUAUUGCAGCAACACCACGACCAAAGCCAGAUGGGGAAGAAAGUUAAUGUCAGUUUACAAGUUACAACCCAUGUUCGGGAAGUCAGGGCAGAAACUGAAGCUGAGGCCUUGGAGAAACCCUGCUCACUGUCUUGCUUCCCCUAACUGCCUCUGCCUGUUUUCUUUUGCCACUCAAGACCACCAGCCUGGGAGUGGCACUAUGACAGUGAAUUAGGCCCUCCCCACAGGGCAGUCUAAUGGAAACAAUUCCUCAAUUGCGGUCCCUUUCUCCCUUUCACACAUUAGAUUAGAUUAGAUUAGAUUUCACAAGCCUGGAGAGAAUGCCUACCUAAAAGAGUUGUUUGGAGGAUUGAGUAAGGAAGAGGAAGCAGUCUUUCUGCCAGAUGCAGAAACAGCUGUCUUCUUUGCAAAGUUUUCCAACCACCUGAUCAUACAGUGGUGCUUCCCUGACAGCUUUGUAUUUUCUUCAGCUGUAGCAUCCGAUCUGAGUCCCUCUGUUUGUGUAAUGAUGGCUUGGGCGCUUACUGUGUGGCGCCUCAUGUUCCGUUGGUCCCUCCCAACAGUCCUGCGAAAUGAAGAUACUAUUUUGUAUGUAACCCUGGAAAUCUAAGUUUGGAGGGUCUGUGAGCUUCUGUCACCUGAUCCAAAACAAAGCACCAUCUUAGGGCUGUUGCUGUGAAGAGACACCAGGGCCACAGCAACUCUUCCGAGGGACGUUUACUUGGGGCUGGCCUGCACUUCAGAGGUUGAGUCCAUCAGCAUCCUGGUAGGAAGCACAGGCAGACUUGGUGCUGGAGAGGAGCUGAAAGUUCUACAUCUAUAUCAACAGGGACAAGAGAGACAAUGGACCUGACUUGUGCAUCUGAAACCUCAAAGUCCACCUCUAGUGACACUUCCUCCAACAAGGCCAACACCUCCUAAUAGUGCCACUCCCCAUGAGCCCAUGGAGUCCAUUCUCUCUCUUUUUUUAAGAUUUAUUUUAUAGCACUUGCCUAGCAAGCGCAAGGCCCUGGGUUCGGUCCUCAGCUC
rnacentral:lncRNA from 1 species